UCAUGUUAACAUGUUUUAUUGAUUCACCAACUUAAUCCAAUUACUGUGUAAACCAUUCACAAUGAAGUAAUUUAAUAGUUUAUACACAUUUAAAAACAUGAGAUUUAAGUAUUCUGUGUAUCUGCAAAACGAAUUAUUAGACUAUAAUUAAUCGAAAUAGCACCACAUAAUUUUGCAUUCCAAUCACGAAGAUGUUUCUGUAUUGUUUUCCAAAUAAACUUCAGAUGUAAUUGAAUAAAACAUCAUAUUCAUUAUCAAUCUGAAGGAGCCCACAAAUCAGUUUUUUUUCCCCAAAACUUGUGCCCAUGUUUGUUGACUACGUUUUUCCUUCUCCUUUUAUAUGGAACAAGGGUCUUUUCCAUGCCUUAGUGAAUUGCCAUCCUUUCUUCUAGGUUUGAGUCAGCUUUCAACAUUUUAUCUCUUUUGCUUCUAAUAUUGUGAAAAUCCUUCAGUAGCUCCUCUAACGUGAUAUUUGUUUUCAGGAGUUACUUACUCCAGCACAUCUCAUUACAGCCACUUUUCUCAUUUAUGCUGGUAACUUGGCCCUCAUUAAGUUCCUCUGGCUGCAUGUCUGGUGUCUCUAAAGAAAGCAGCAUCAACAUUUCCAUGUCUACUAUCUUCUAAUCACAUUCAAUUUCAUUUCCAUUGUUACCACUUUUCUGUCCUUUGCUACACCUUCAUCUUUGUUGACCUAUUACCUCUUUUGAUUACUCAUUUUUGUAAAAUGUCACUUGGGCUUAACACUGGGAGACAAGGUAGUAACACAAAUAUGUAUUUUCUGUUUGUAUGUGAACUGAAUCACAGAUGCACAGUGACCAAUCCCUGACAGUCUUUGAGAGAAGUGGGGUGAUUUCAUCACUGAUCAUGAGACACAUCUGAUAUCUUUGCAGUGAUGUCUGGACUAAAGAGCUAGCAGCAACGUUUAUACAAUUACUCACAGUUGAUAUACCCAAGUAAAUUUCAUUUCAACCUUGUUAUUAGGGAAGUGGUGUUAUAUAAAUACACUGCAGUAACUGAAUUUCAUAUAUGUCAGAGCCACAACAUUGAGAAUAGUUUCCUUUGUAGAGAGGUCAUAUUCCUCCAGUAAGAAUGAAGGAUUUGGGGUUUUUGAGGUGGAUUUCAUGAUUGACAGCAACAUGUAGGAAAUGCCACACAUCACAGGUAAACU
rnacentral:lncRNA from 1 species